CCUACGGGGGGCAGCAGUGAGGAAUAUUGGUCAAUGGACGAGAGUCUGAACCAGCCAAGUAGCGUGAAGGAUGACUGCCCUAUGGGUUGUAAACUUCUUUUAUAAAGGAAUAAAACGAGGCACGUGUGCCUUUUUGCAUGUACUUUAUGAAUAAGGAUCGGCUAACUCCGUGCCAGCAGCCGCGGUAAUACGGAGGAUCCGAGCGUUAUCCGGAUUUAUUGGGUUUAAAGGGAGCGUAGAUGGGUUGUUAAGUCAGUUGUGAAAGGUUGCGGCUCAACCGUAAAAUUGCAAUUGAUACUGGCAGUCUUGAGUACAGUUGAGGUAGGCGGAAUUCGUGGUGUAGCGGUGAAAUGCUUAGAUAUCACGAAGAACCCCGAUUGCGAAGGCAGCUUACUAAACUGUGACUGACAUUGAGGCUCGAAAGUGUGGGUAUCAAACAGGAUUAGAUACCCUGGUAGUC
rnacentral:rRNA from 1 species